rnacentral:rRNA from 1 species
UAAUACGGAGGGUGCAAGCGUUGUCCGGAUUUAUUGGGUUUAAAGGGUGCGUAGGCGGCCUUAUAAGUCAGUGGUGAAAGCCCAUCGCUCAACGAUGGAACUGCCAUUGAUACUGUAAGGCUUGAGUACAGACGAGGUAGGCGGAAUUGAUGGUGUAGCGGUGAAAUGCAUAGAUACCAUCAAGAACACCGAUUGCGUAGGCAGCUUACUAGGCUGUAACUGACGCUGAGGCACGAAAGCGUGGGGAGCGAACAGGAUUAGAUACCCUGGUAGUCCACGCUGUAAACGAUGAUUACUCGAUGUUGGCGAUAAACAGUCAGCGUCUUAGCGAAAGCGUUAAGUAAUCCACCUGGGGAGUACGCCCGCAAGGGUG